rnacentral:rRNA from 1 species
UACGUAGGGUGCGAGCGUUGUCCGGAAUUACUGGGCGUAAAGAGCUCGUAGGCGGUUUGUCGCGUCGUCCGUGAAAACUUGGGGCUCAACCCCAAGCUUGCGGGCGAUACGGGCAGACUUGAGUACUGCAGGGGAGACUGGAAUUCCUGGUGUAGCGGUGAAAUGCGCAGAUAUCAGGAGGAACACCGGUGGCGAAGGCGGGUCUCUGGGCAGUAACUGACGCUGAGGAGCGAAAGCGUGGGUAGCAAACAGG